rnacentral:rRNA from 1 species
UACAGAGGGUGCAAGCGUUAAUCGGAAUUACUGGGCGUAAAGCGCGCGUAGGUGGUUUGUUAAGUUGGAUGUGAAAUCCCCGGGCUCAACCUGGGAACUGCAUUCAAAACUGACAAGCUAGAGUAUGGUAGAGGGUGGUGGAAUUUCCUGUGUAGCGGUGAAAUGCGUAGAUAUAGGAAGGAACACCAGUGGCGAAGGCGACCACCUGGACUGAUACUGACACUGAGGUGCGAAAGCGUGGGGGAGCAAACAGG